rnacentral:rRNA from 1 species
UACGGAGGGUGCGAGCGUUGUCCGGAAUUAUUGGGCGUAAAGAGCUUGUAGGCGGUUUGUCGCGUCUGCUGUGAAAUUCCAGGGCUUAACCCUGGGCUUGCAGUGGGUACGGGCAGACUAGAGUGUGGUAGGGGAGACUGGAAUUCCUGGUGUAGCGGUGAAAUGCGCAGAUAUCAGGAGGAACACCGGUGGCGAAGGCGGGUCUCUGGGCCGAAAUUGACGCUGAGGAGCGAAAGCGUGGGGAGCAAACAGG